CCUACGGGAGACAGCAGUGAGGAAUAUUGGACAAUGGGCGCAAGCCUGAACCAGCGAAGUAGCGUGAAGGAUGACUGCUCUACGGGUUGUAAGCUUCUUUUAUAAAGGAAUAAAGUGCGGCACGUGUGCCUUUUUGUAUGUACAUUAUGAAUAAGGAUGGGCUAACUCCGUGCCAGCAGCCGCGGUAAUCCGGAGGAUCCGAGCGUUAUCCGGAUUUAUUGGGUUUAACGGGAGCGUAGAGGGGUUGUUAAGUCUGUUGUGAAAGUUUGCGGCUCAACCGUAAAAUUGCAAUUGAAACUGGCCGUCUGGAGUACAGGUGAGGUAGGCGGAAUUCGUGGUGUAGCGGUGAAAUGCUUAGAUAUCACGAAGAACUCCGAUGGCGAAGGCAGCUUACUAAACUGCCACUGACAUUGAGGCUCGAAAGUGUGGGUAUCAAACAGGAUUAGAUACCCUAGUAGUC
rnacentral:rRNA from 1 species